rnacentral:rRNA from 1 species
CCGCGUGUGUGAAGAAGGCCUUCGGGUUGUAAAGCACUUUCAGCGACGAGGAAGGAGUGUGUGUUAAUAAUGCAUAAUAUUGACGUUAGUCGCAGAAGAAGCACCGGCUAACUCCGUGCCAGCAGCCGCGGUAAUACAAGAGGGGGCAAGCGUUAAUCGGAAUUACUGGGCGUAAAGCGUACGUAGGCGGCGUGAUAAGCAAGAUGUGAAAGCCCCGGGCUCAACCUGGGAAUUGCAUUUUGAACUGGCAUGCUAAAGUCCUGAAGAGGGUGGUAGAAUUUCCAGUGUAGCGGUAAAAUGCGUAGAUAUUGGAAGGAAUACCAGUGGCGAAGGCGGCCACCUGGACAGAGACUGACGCUGAGGUACGAAAGCGUGGGGAGCAAACAGGAUUAGAUACCCUGGUAGUCCACGCCGUAAACGAUGUCCACUAGUUGUUCGUGUC